GGGCUUGUGGCGCAACAGAUAACGCGUCUGACUACGGAUCAGAAGUUUCCAGGUUCGAAUCCUGGCAAGCUCG
rnacentral:tRNA from 1 species